GGGGGAGGGGAGCGAGGCAGGUGGCGGGGCGGCGGGGAAGAACGGGAGGAGAGCCUGGAGAAGGAGGGGACAGUUUACAAAAAUGCACUACCCGAGUGGGACUGUGGCCCAGGAAAAUCCCACUCGUGAACGAGCUACCAAAUCGGCCUCCAGUGCACCCAGGAGAGCCUAGAGAAAGGGCGAACUGUGACAGGGACUCGUGCACCCGAUUAAUUGAAUAUUAAUCACCUCAGGGGCCUAGGCCAACUGCCACCCAGAGAGUGGCAACAGCAGAACCCAAAGCUGCCGUGCCAGGCUGGGGGUGGGGAAGAGAGACCACCUGGCCACACCUCCCGCCCAGGUGACAGUUUAACUGCCUCUGCAUCCCACUUCAGACCUCCCCAUGCGAUCUGGCAGCAACUCGGA
rnacentral:lncRNA from 1 species